rnacentral:rRNA from 1 species
GACGAACGCUGGCGGCGUGCUUAACACAUGCAAGUCGAACGCUGAAGCUCAGCUUUUGUUGGGUGGAUGAGUGGCGAACGGGUGAGUAACACGUGAGUAACCUGCCUCCUUCUUUGGGAUAACGCCCGGAAACGGGUGCUAAUACUGGAUAUUCACUGGUCUUCGCAUGGGGGUUGGUGGAAAGGGUUUUUCUGGUGGGGGAUGGGCUCGCGGCCUAUCAGCUUGUUGGUGGGGUGAUGGCCUACCAAGGCUUUGACGGGUAGCCGGCCUGAGAGGGUGACCGGUCACAUUGGGACUGAGAUACGGCCCAGACUCCAACGGGAGGCAGCAGUGGGGAAUAUUGCACAAUGGGCGCAAGCCUGAUGCAGCGACGCCGCGUGAGGGAUGGAGGCCUUCGGGUUGUGAACCUCUUUCGCUCAUGGUCAAGCCGCAACAAUGGUUGUGGUGAGGGUAGUGGGUAAAGAAGCGCCGGCUAACUACGUG